rnacentral:tRNA from 1 species
GGGGGUUUAGCUCAGUUGGUAGAGCGCCUGCUUUGCAAGCGGGAAGCCAGCGGUUCGAAUCCGCUAACCUCCA